rnacentral:rRNA from 1 species
UCCCGUAGUAAUGGCGAAUGAACAGGGAAAAGCUCAUAGCUGAAUCGCUCUGACGUGUCGUUAGGUGCGAGUUGUAGUGUUCGGUCAGUUUCGCGGGUUCAGGCGCGUUGCAUUAAGUCCAGGUUGAAUACGGCUUUGGCCGCAGAGGGUGAUAGUCCCGUAUUUGCAACGUGUUUGUUCCCUAGAGCUGAUCUGUGAGUCGAAUUGUUUGAGAUUGCAAUUCAAAUGUGUGUGGUAAACUCCAUACAAAGCUAAAUAUGGCGGCGGUGCCGAUAGCGAAGAAGUACCGUGAGGGAAAGUUGAAAAGGACUUUGAAAAGAGAGUUAAAUAGUACGUGAAACUGCACAUUGAAAAGCAAAUGGGUACGCUUAAAGUUUGGUCUUGACAAUUCAGGUGUGUUCACUGCUGUUUCGGUGGUGCACAUCGCAGUUUGUUGGCUAACGCCCUGCAUGACUUUGCCUCUUCUGCAGGCGCGAUGAAUUUCGCUGAUAUCGAUUACAUCGGUAUGAGUGAAUCGUGGUUGGACGUGUCCGCAAGGACACAGGCGUGGUUAAGCAGUCGCUUUUAUCAAAAAGCGGCAUCGGUCAGUUGAGGUAGAGUCUUUGAACUCUAAUCGGGCAUUCCAUUGACGUACUCGUUGUGUCUGCGGUGAAUUGUUUCGGCGCUAGCCGUUAUGAUUUCUCUCCGUGGAUGUUUCGAGUCGCGUCGAAUGCACGUUGAAGGCAGGAUGAAUGGCGGCAUCAUUUGAACCGUCUUGAAACACGGGCUAAGGAGUUCAACAAAUGCGCGAGUUAUCCAGUCAGUUAGAAACUGGGUAGCACAGCCAACGCGAAUUUGUUAAUAAUUGUGGUAACCGGCUGCGAUUGCUCGCUGGUCGGAUCAUCACCUAUGAUGGAUGGCACGUAAGGUACUGGUUGUCGUUCGCACUCGAGCGCACAUGUUGAGACCCGAAAGAUGGUGAACUAUGCCUGAAUAGGAUGAAGCCGGAGGAAACUCUGGUGGAGGUCCGUAGCGUUUUUGACGUGCAAAUCAAUCGUCAGAUUUGGGUAUAGGGGCGAAAGACUAAUCGAACCAUCUAGUAGCUGGUUCCCUUCGAAGUUUCC